rnacentral:rRNA from 1 species
UUAAGUUAUUAAGGGCGCACGGUGGAUGCCUUGGCACUAGAAGCCGAUGAAGGACGUUACUAACGACGAUAUGCUUUGGGGAGCUGUAAGUAAGCUUUGAUCCAGAGAUUUCCGAAUGGGGAAACCCAGCAUGAGUUAUGUCAUGUUAUCGAUAUGUGAAUACAUAGCAUAUUAGAAGGCACACCCGGAGAACUGAAACAUCUUAGUACCCGGAGGAAGAGAAAGAAAAUUCGAUUCCCUUAGUAGCGGCGAGCGAAACGGGAAGAGCCCAAACCAACAAGCUUGCUUGUUGGGGUUGUAGGACACUCUAUACGGAGUUACAAAGGACGACAUUAGACGAAUCAUCUGGAAAGAUGAAUCAAAGAAGGUAAUAAUCCUGUAGUCGAAAAUGUUGUCUCUCUUGAGUGGAUCCUGAGUACGACGGAGCACGUGAAAUUCCGUCGGAAUCUGGGAGGACCAUCUCCUAAGGCUAAAUACUCUCUAGUGACCGAUAGUGAACCAGUACCGUGAGGGAAAGGUGAAAAGCACCCCGGAAGGGGAGUGAAAUAGAACCUGAAACCGUGUGCUUACAAGUAGUCAGAGCCCGUUAAUGGGUGAUGGCGUGCCUUUUGUAGAAUGAACCGGCGAGUUACGAUUUGAUGCAAGGUUAAGCAGUAAAUGUGGAGCCGUAGCGAAAGCGAGUCUGAAUAGGGCGUUUAGUAUUUGGUCGUAGACCCGAAACCAGGUGAUCUACCCUUGGUCAGGUUGAAGUUCAGGUAACACUGAAUGGAGGACCGAACCGACUUACGUUGAAAAGUGAGCGGAUGAACUGAGGGUAGCGGAGAAAUUCCAAUCGAACCUGGAGAUAGCUGGUUCUCUCCGAAAUAGCUUUAGGGCUAGCCUCAAGUGAUGAUUAUUGGAGGUAGAGCACUGUUUGGACGAGGGGCCCCUCUCGGGUUACCGAAUUCAGACAAACUCCGAAUGCCAAUUAAUUUAACUUGGGAGUCAGAACAUGGGUGAUAAGGUCCGUGUUCGAAAGGGAAACAGCCCAGACCACCAGCUAAGGUCCCAAAAUAUAUGUUAAGUGGAAAAGGAUGUGGCGUUGCCCAGACAACUAGGAUGUUGGCUUAGAAGCAGCCAUCAUUUAAAGAGUGCGUAAUAGCUCACUAGUCGAGUGACACUGCGCCGAAAAUGUACCGGGGCUAAACAUAUUACCGAAGCUGUGGAUUGUCCUUUGGACAAUGGUAGGAGAGCGUUCUAAGGGCGUUGAAGCAUGAUCGUAAGGACAUGUGGAGCGCUUAGAAGUGAGAAUGCCGGUGUGAGUAGCGAAAGACGGGUGAGAAUCCCGUCCACCGAUUGACUAAGGUUUCCAGAGGAAGGCUCGUCCGCUCUGGGUUAGUCGGGUCCUAAGCUGAGGCCGACAGGCGUAGGCGAUGGAUAACAGGUUGAUAUUCCUGUACCACCUAUAAUCGUUUUAAUCGAUGGGGGGACGCAGUAGGAUAGGCGAAGCGUGCGAUUGGAUUGCACGUCUAAGCAGUAAGGCUGAGUAUUAGGCAAAUCCGGUACUCGUUAAGGCUGAGCUGUGAUGGGGAGAAGACAUUGUGUCUUCGAGUCGUUGAUUUCACACUGCCGAGAAAAGCCUCUAGAUAGAAAAUAGGUGCCCGUACCGCAAACCGACACAGGUAGUCAAGAUGAGAAUUCUAAGGUGAGCGAGCGAACUCUCGUUAAGGAACUCGGCAAAAUGACCCCGUAACUUCGGGAGAAGGGGUGCUCUUUAGGGUUAACGCCCAGAAGAGCCGCAGUGAAUAGGCCCAAGCGACUGUUUAUCAAAAACACAGGUCUCUGCUAAACCGUAAGGUGAUGUAUAGGGGCUGACGCCUGCCCGGUGCUGGAAGGUUAAGAGGAGUGGUUAGCUUCUGCGAAGCUACGAAUCGAAGCCCCAGUAAACGGCGGCCGUAACUAUAACGGUCCUAAGGUAGCGAAAUUCCUUGUCGGGUAAGUUCCGACCCGCACGAAAGGCGUAACGAUUUGGGCACUGUCUCAACGAGAGACUCGGUGAAAUCAUAGUACCUGUGAAGAUGCAGGUUACCCGCGACAGGACGGAAAGACCCCGUGGAGCUUUACUGUAGCCUGAUAUUGAAAUUCGGCACAGCUUGUACAGGAUAGGUAGGAGCCUUUGAAACGUGAGCGCUAGCUUACGUGGAGGCGCUGGUGGGAUACUACCCUAGCUGUGUUGGCUUUCUAACCCGCACCACUUAUCGUGGUGGGAGACAGUGUCAGGCGGGCAGUUUGACUGGGGCGGUCGCCUCCUAAAAGGUAACGGAGGCGCUCAAAGGUUCCCUCAGAAUGGUUGGAAAUCAUUCAUAGAGUGUAAAGGCAUAAGGGAGCUUGACUGCGAGACCUACAAGUCGAGCAGGGUCGAAAGACGGACUUAGUGAUCCGGUGGUUCCGCAUGGAAGGGCCAUCGCUCAACGGAUAAAAGCUACCCCGGGGAUAACAGGCUUAUCUCCCCCAAGAGUUCACAUCGACGGGGAGGUUUGGCACCUCGAUGUCGGCUCAUCGCAUCCUGGGGCUGUAGUCGGUCCCAAGGGUUGGGCUGUUCGCCCAUUAAAGCGGUACGCGAGCUGGGUUCAGAACGUCGUGAGACAGUUCGGUCCCUAUCCGUCGUGGGCGUAGGAAAUUUGAGAGGAGCUGUCCUUAGUACGAGAGGACCGGGAUGGACAUACCUCUGGUGUACCAGUUGUCGUGCCA